rnacentral:tRNA from 1 species
GGGCCAGUAGCUCAGCUUGGAGAGGAACGCGAGCACUCGUCUCGCUGACUCGUGCAAAUAGAGCGGCAGCCUUCUAAGCUGUAGGCCGGGGGUUCGAAUCCUCCCUGGCCCG